AUUGAACGCUGGCGGCAGGCCUAACACAUGCAAGUCGAGCGGUAGAGAGGUGCUUGCAUCUCUUGAGAGCGGCGGACGGGUGAGUAAUGCCUAGGAAUCUGCCUAGUGGUGGGGGAUAACGUUCGGAAACGGACGCUAAUACCGCAUACGUCCUACGGGAGAAAGCGGGGGAUCUUCGGACCUCGCGCCAUUAGAUGAGCCUAGGUCGGAUUAGCUAGUUGGUGAGGUAAUGGCUCACCAAGGCGACGAUCCGUAACUGGUCUGAGAGGAUGAUCAGUCACACUGGAACUGAGACACGGCCCAGACUCCUACGGGAGGCAGCAGUGGGGAAUAUUGGACAAUGGGCGAAAGCCUGAUCCAGCCAUGCCGCGUGUGUGAAGAAGGUCUUCGGAUUGUAAAGCACUUUAAGUUGGGUAGGAAGGGUAGUAACCUAAUACGUUGCUACUUUGACGUUACCGACAGAAUAAGCACCGGCGUAACUUCGUGCCAGCAGCCG
rnacentral:rRNA from 1 species